AAAUCUCAACCUUCUCGGUUUCUUCUGGACACCGAAGGAGGCUUGGACUUUGGAGGCCUUUGCUGGCGUCUCUCUCUUGAGAGAGCCAGCUCCUCUUAAAUGAAUUAGCGGGGUCCUCUUUGCUGGUCCUCGACAUGUGAUAAGAUGUUUCCAUGUCUUGGUUUCUGGCUCUGUUGCUUUUGGGACCCGCUUCUAACCGUCUCAACGAGACAACGUUUGAGCGCGUCUCCCUUCUCGGGAGACCCUCUCAACCUCACGAAC
rnacentral:misc_RNA from 1 species